rnacentral:misc_RNA from 1 species
CUUCCAUAAGGUGUAAUUUUAUUUUUAUUUUCCUCUGUCAAACAACUCGUUGACUUUUCAAGUAUCUUCUCUGCAUCACAGCACACUUGUCGAGGACAUCCGCAAAGAUUGAACACACCAAAUGGCGACAAUGUUUGCGAAGCGCGGCCGCGCCGACUACUACUGGUCUGACACGGAGUAUACGCACAGAACGCGGAACCGUGAGAUGCUGAAGGCACAUGGAGCAGAGAUCAAAAAGCUGUACGGCCCGGACCCGUGGCUUCGGUAUCUAAUGACACCGUUUGUUCUGCUCCAGAUUUAUCUUGGGUACCGUGCGAAGGACAUGGGGUGGCCCACUCUUCUUCUCGUCGGAUAUUUCGUGGGUGGAACAAUUACGCACAGCUGUUUCUUGGCAAUUCACGAGGCCACGCAUGGCCUCUGCUUCAUCACGCCGCUCUACAACGACCUUUACGCACUGUUCGUGAAUCUGGUGGUGCCCGUGCCAUAUGCGAUGAUGUUCAAGACUUACCACGCUGAGCAUCACCGCUACUUGGGCUGGGACGGCAUUGACUCUGAUGUGCCCACGCGGUUCGAGGGAAGGUAUCUAUCAAGCUACGCUGGCAAGUUUUUCUUUCUCACGUUUCAGGUGCUGUUCUACGCUCUCAGGCCCACUGUUGUGCGGACGAUCAAGUUUGAGAAGCUGCAUGUGAUGAACUACGUUGUGCAGCUGAUGUUCAACCUGCUCGUGUACUACUUCUGGGGCUGGUGGCCACUGCUGUACUUCCUUCUCUGUACUUUUCUAGGCACCAGUUGGCACCCACUCGCUGGUCACUUCAUCUCAGAGCAUUUUGUGCUCACGGGCAACGGUGGGCAAGAGACAUUCUCGUACUACGGCCCGCUGAACUGGCUAAUGUGGAAUGUCGGCUAUCAUGUUGAGCACCACGACUUUCCAAACAUUCCAUGGACACGAAUAGGGAAGCUGAAUACUAUUGCACCGGAGUUCUACGUUGAUCUGCACCGUACCAAGUCGUGGCCCGGGACUCUGUUCGACUUCCUACUAGACCCGAACGUGAGCCUCUGCAGCCGUGUUGUGCGCGAGCGCGGCUCUGCCGGACGUGAGAAGCUACUGCCGACAUCGACGGGUCGCAUGAAGGCGGCGGAGCCACACCAGGGUCCGUGCUUGUGGAAAAAGGACGGCUGAAGUGAUUUGUUUGUCGUUAAUCUUAUAUCUUGCUACUCUAUAGUAUGAGUGCCUAACGAUUCACUGUCUUCAGAUAGGUGUGCGCAAUGAUGUAAUUUACCUGUUUAAAGCCACGUAGCUGCGCAACAGUUUUUUUUCUUCGCGUAGCCCACUGCGUUAGUUUCACCUUUUACCUUUUCAAGCAGCCGAGUUGCAGUUGUUCUGCUGUGCUUAUUCGGUCUGAUUUGUAAUGAGAGAAAAGGAGUGUGCUUUGGACGAAAUUGAAAGGAGCUCUAGGUUAUAUUAGCUUUUGAUUCCUUGGAGCAGUACAGCGUCCAUUGCUUUGUCAGGGGAGAGUAUAUAUUUUUUCCUUUUUGUGAUCUUACUUUUGAUGGAUGUUUUCGAGUUUACUUCUGGUUUCGCGCUUUGACAGCUGAAAUGUAGUUGGGGGAGAGGAAAGCCGACUCAGUGCUUAAAAUAAAGGUAUUAGAGCACUAACGAAACCGCCUUGCACACCUCUGAUUUUAGCCAAGUGGACGAGAAAGUCCACAAAGUCG